rnacentral:tRNA from 1 species
ACCGAAAUCGCUCUGUUGGGAAAGCGUUAGGCUAUAUAUCGAAAAGUCCCUGGUUCGAUCCUGUGUUCCGGCA